rnacentral:rRNA from 1 species
UACGUAGGGUGCAAGCGUUGUCCGGAAUUAUUGGGCGUAAAGAGCUCGUAGGCGGUCUGUCACGUCGGCUGUGAAAACCCGGGGCUCAACCCCGGGCCUGCAGUCGAUACGGGCAGACUAGAGUGCGGUAGGGGAGACUGGAAUUCCUGGUGUAGCGGUGAAAUGCGCAGAUAUCAGGAGGAACACCGGUGGCGAAGGCGGGUCUCUGGGCCGUAACUGACGCUGAGAAGCGAAAGCGUGGGGAGCGAACAGG